CCAUUCUGUGUAAAUCUGUGUCAAGAAUAAGCCUGCUGGUUCACGGAUUAAACAUUUGUAUUUUGUCUGGUCCCGAGUUCAAGCCUCAUCGUAUGCAUUAGGAAAUAUUUUGCUUAUUGUCGAAAAUACGCUGGUGGUUAUGACAAAGGAUUUUUAAACGUUCUUUUUGUUUUCUUCCUUUUCUUUUUUUCCUUUUCCUUUCUU
rnacentral:lncRNA from 1 species